AGGGGUCUUGAGGAAGAGAGGAGAGGAGCUUGAAGAAGGAUCCUGAGGAGAGAGACUCCCUGUUCUGAGUACUAAGACAUGGGGUGACCUCGGGAAGGAGAGUUAAACACCAGAAGUGCUCUCUGCUGAUCAUCCCACCAGACUGCUGCAGAACAAGGCACCGAUGCCAGAACUUCCCCACAGUUUUCCUUCAGCUGUGGUGGCAUAACCAGGGAGCAUCACAGAAAGGCUGAGGUGCUGCUCCCGCUGGGUCUGUAAUCCCAGGAAAAGGGAACGCUGGAGCAUCCUCAUCCGUAACAUUUGUCAGGCUGCUCUGGAGGGUGUCAGGAUGGCGAGCCCAGGUGGAGACACCGAGUUCCCCUUCUGGAGGAUGGGUGGCUUUGCGCAAAUUCCUGGAUUUUUCUGGCUAUUCCUGCUGCCGCAUGCCUCGCUGUUUGUCCAGAAAAAUGCUGGCUGGGGCUGUCCCUCGUGUCGCGCCACGGAGCUGCGGUUCUGCAGGAGCGGGCUGCAGCCCGCGGGCAGCAAUGCAGCCAACAGAUGGUGCUCGCAUACACGGUGCUCCGGGCUGCUUCCCAAAACGCCACCCAAGCCUCCUGCCAAUUCGGGAUGCAACUUCGAUUGUUUUUUAGGGAGCUGCUGCGAGCAGCGCAGUUUUUACUUUAAUUUCUCUGAGCGGAAUAAGCCUCUGGGGCCGCUGGGGGUGGGCAGGUUUCUUGCCAAAGGGGUUUCCUACCUCCAGUGUGGCCCUUUUGCGAAGUUUGAUGUAGAGGAAAUAAGUUGGACUGUGAAGAAUUCCAGGCUCUGCAUCACUAAUUUGUCCUCCAGUGAAAAAAGAAAAAUAAAAAUAGUACCCGAAGACCUUGAGACAGAGCAGCAAGGGAAGAAAAUUAAUAACUAGCAACGAAUUCAGAAUUUUUAUCUUCCCUGCCGUUCGUAAAACGUGUUUAGUCGGGGGGUGUGGGCAGAAGGCAUCUCAAAUCCUUUAAUAUGUAUUGACUUCCUGGUGGUUCAGCUUUGUGCUGCUGAACGCUUCCCUUUCUGCAGCUAAUCAGAGGGGCUCUAGGCACGGAGCUUUGUGGGGAAAAUACUCUGCCUCGUGAAUACUGCAGACACAAGCAGAGCUAAUUAAGCAUGUAAAUCACGCCCAUAUAAAUUAGUUACCAACACGUUCCCUUGGCCGCUGGCGGCGGUGGGGAGGGGGAUUUGCGGGAUGCCCCCGCGAGGCUCCGUGCCGUGGGGAUCCGUGCGGGAGAGGACACGGACAGGGAGGUGGGAUGGCACUGGGAGCUGAGGGAGGGAUGGAGGGUGGCAGAUGCUGAAGCAGCUCAAGCCAGGGAUGGGGGCAGAGAUUACCCAGGCACCGCACAGCUCCGUUUCCGAAGGGAUCUGACCCCAUCCAUCACUUCCUGAAGCAGAUGGAAACGCUCCUCUGGAAUGUAAUGGUUUGGGAUUUGGUCCAGAGUGAAUCCAGUAAAAGGAGGUAGCUCUGGAUUAAAAUGCACUCCCAGAAGAAGCGACAGGAGCUGCCCCAGUUGUACCUUGCAGUCCAGGCUCAGCCCUGCAGCCCCCCUGAGAUGUCCAGAGAGCGUUUAAUGAGACUUUGUGGGAAUGCUGAACGUUUCACAGCAGGCACAGGAGCAAGCUGACUGCACACUGGAGGAAAACGACCGGGGCUUGGCCAGUCUGGGAGCAGAACUCAGGACAAGGGGCCUGGUGUGAUGAAGAGACAAAGAGGAGUGAAAAACCUUCUGCAAACGAGAAUCUGGGACCACGAGGUUAAAGAGCCCAUUUUAUCACUCCCACCUGUCUGAAAGCAAGAGCCUGCAGGCAUCUUCUGCGAGCAGGGUUCACCUUGCUGGAUGUGUUAAGCUGACCUUUGUUGCACCAGGCCCAGGAGUCGCCUGCUCACCAGGACUUGGGUCCAGGCUGUCUUCUGCGGCCAGGACCGUGGCCUCUUCUGCCUGGAAACACCUUCUUUGGCUCUGGCAGCAAUUCAUCCUCCUUCUUGGAGCUGGGCCCACGGGCAGCCACGAACAGGAGUGGUCCCAACACGAAGGAGGAGGUUUGUGAUGAAAUGGUUGGACCAUUCCCCUGGCUGGCUUCGGUCUGUGCUGCCUGGACACUUCAUUUGUUGUUUCACACCUUGCUGGCAGGGCAGGAGAGCUGGUGCUCCCUGCCAGGAUGUGGUGUGAGCCCUGGGGACAAGCUGCACUGCAGCUAUGAGUCUAAAAUGAUUUUUUUUUUCCCCUUGCCUGCAAUCAGUGAAGGACUUUUCUACGACAAGCUCUUGGGUACUACUGGAUCGUCUGGUAGCAGUGGAAGGAGUAGCAGAGCAAUUUCCAGUGGCCCUGGGCAAUUUCAGUUACAUUAAAAUUAAAUAACCACAGGAGCUCGUUCACAAUUUUUUUUGCCAACUGAAGCUCAGAAGACACAAGGAGGAGACUCUCCAGAGGCUUCCUUCAGCCACUGAUCCCACGAGAAGAGGAUCCAGCCCUGCAGUGACAAGAUCCGUGCAUCUGCACGGGAUUCAGAUGGAGUCAAGUUCAUGGCAGUUCAAGCUGUCAGGCAGGUCUCCCAGUAUUUCCUUCCCUCCCACAGCAGGCUCUCCACGCUGUCAUUACUGCAGGUGCCUCUACCCUUCCCACCCCCCACUGAAGUCAUUUUAAAGGAGCGCCAGACGUGCCAGCAGGGACGUGUCGCCCUCACCCUGUGCUUCCUGGUGCCCUCAAACAAAUUCCCGGUGCCUUCAGCAGAAUUCUACGGAUGAGCAGAGAGGAGGAGUCUGGGGAAGGAGCUCUUUGGUGUAGAGUCCCAGAGCAGGGAUCUGCAGCCCACAGCUGCCAGCUGAAGGAAACGCCUGAGGAGCAAAUGUGUCCCCCGGAGGUACCUGCGGUUCACAGGCAGGUGCGAGUGAUGCUCCUCUGGCUGUGCCGAGACCUGAAAUUCUGCUCCUCUGGAACAGAUACUUUGGGUCACCUUGAGGAAAGUGUUUAAUCUCCCCGUGUUUCCAUGCCCCAAGUGAAAGACAGAAAUAGCAGCACUGCCUUCCUUCCAGCAGAGUAAGUGCGUUAAAGAUUGCGAGGCGAUGGGAGUCCUGGAAGGGCCUGGAUGGAAGGGAUUCAUCUGAAUGCGUUUGUUGUGCAUUACUCACUCAGCCCUGAGUUUUAAUCUUCUUCUCCUCUCCAUCAUUGUAACCUAAAUUUCCUUGAGCUCUCUCACCAGAACUCGGUCCCGGUUUAAUCCCUGCCUCGUUUGAGUGAUUUCUGCAAUUUCUCCUUCAGCAGAUGAUGAGCUGUACGCCAGCCCUCAUCCUUCCCCGCAGUCUAUCCAGGAGAGCUGCGAACGCUCCCUCCACAGGGAGCACCAGUGCUUUAUCUGGGAGCUUGUGCAACUCCUCGGGAUAAUCCCUCUUCUGUUUUUCCAGUCUAGUGACUCGUGGUUCAUCACCUUUUCCAGCUGGUUGGAGAGAAGCUUUCUCCCAAAGCACCGGCAGGCUGCCACUCCUCUUGGCUCCCUCGGGGCGUUUUGGUCCGGGCAGAGGUGCCCGGGCUCCCCUCGCUCCUGCAGGUGGGAGCCCUGUGUGUCACAGAGGUGCAGCCGGCAAGCUGGGCGAGCAGCAGCACAGAAUCAGGGAUUGGGCUGGGGUGGGCCUUAAAAAUCAUCCUGUUUCAACCCCCAUGGACUUCCCCUACACUAGGUGGCUCAGAGCCCCACCCAGCCUGGCCCCAAACAAUUCCAGGGGUGGAACAUCCAUGAUUUCAGUGCUAUGUUUGGAUUCUUCUCAGUUUGUUAACUUUCAGAUUUUUUUUUUUUAAUUUUUUUUUCCCCCCCCCAGCAGGAUUAUUUGUUACUCUAUUAUCGAACAAAUCCUGGCUCACAUAGGCAGAAAUGUGCAGGAGGCAUAUAAUUCCCAAUUUAUUACCUUGGUUCACAUGACGUUAUUGAGAAUUGAUUGUAAUGCUUAGUGGCAUUAGCAGUGCCUUCCUCUCAUAACGGCGACAUUUACUGCCAGGAACACUAUUUGUGCAGCAGUUGUGUUACACCACAAAUAAUUAUAUUACUUACGUUCAAUUUGUGUCAUUACACAUAACACAACUGUGCCUGCUGCACCAUCUCACACUUCAUUAAUGCCCGAGGCAGAACAGCCUCACAUAAAUACACUCCUUGGCACUUUUCAUUGGAAAUUAUAUUCUACUUAUUAUUAAAGUGUAGAUCAAAAAUGACAUUUCCCGACUAUUAAAAAUACAGAAGGAAAAGUCACUGCUGUAUUAAUAAGGAGCACCAGAUAAAAAUCAUUACUCUGAAAAUGUUCGCUCUGCAAAUUUAAGGGGAUGCUGUCAGGUUUGGUAAACCCCAGAUGCGAUGAAUCUUAUUUUCCUGCAUUUCUCUGCAACUUUCCAGCAGUUCUGUGUGUCCUCGCCUUGAUGAAAAGCACUAGCACAGAUUGCCUAGAGAUGCUGUGCGUGUUUCACCCCUGGGAUUGUUUGAGGCCAGGCUGGAUGGAGCUCUGAGCCACCUGGUCUAGUGGAAGGUGUCCCUGCCCACGGCAGGGCCUUGGAACUGGACUAUCUGCAAAGUCCCUUCUAACCCAAACCUUUCUGUGAGAACGUCCCAGGUAGCCUUCCAAGAGAAGCAGAUGGUAAAAAAUAACAUAAUGGGACAUUUCACCACAGGUGAAACAUUAGGUUUCUUUCACUUUGGAAGUCUGGGUGGGAUCUACUCCAGCAACCGAGCACAAUCCUUGUAAUUUCAUCAAAGCUACAAAGACAUUGUAGAGGGUCAU